rnacentral:rRNA from 1 species
UACAGAGGGGGCAAGCGUUGUUCGGAAUUACUGGGCGUAAAGGGCGCGUAGGCGGCCUGCUAAGUCGAACGUGAAAUCCCUGGGCUCAACCCAGGAACUGCGUCCGAUACUGGUUGGCUUGAAUCCGGGAGAGGGACGUGGAAUUCCAGGUGUAGCGGUGAAAUGCGUAGAUAUCUGGAGGAACACCGGUGGCGAAGGCGACGUCCUGGACCGGUAUUGACGCUGAGGCGCGAAAGCCAGGGGAGCAAACAGG